rnacentral:rRNA from 1 species
UACGGGGGGGGCAAGCGUUGUUCGGAAUUACUGGGCGUAAAGAGCUCGUAGGCGGUUCGUCGCGUCGGCUGUGAAAUCCCGAGGCUCAACCUCGGGUCUGCAGUCGAUACGGGCGGACUGGAGUUCGGCAGGGGAGACUGGAAUUCCUGGUGUAGCGGUGAAAUGCGCAGAUAUCAGGAGGAACACCGGUGGCGAAGGCGGGUCUCUGGGCCGAUACUGACGCUGAGACGCGAAAGCGUGGGGAGCGAACAGG